UACAGAGGUCCCGAGCGUUGUUCGGAUUCAUUGGGCGUAAAGGGUGCGUAGGCGGCGGGGUAAGUCUGAUGUGAAAUCCUGGGGCUCAACCCUGGAACUGCAUUGGAUACUGCCUUGCUAGAGAACUGGAGAGGAGACUGGAAUUUACGGUGUAGCAGUGAAAUGCGUAGAGAUCGUAAGGAAGACCAGUGGCGAAGGCGAGUCUCUGGGCAGUAACUGACGCUGAGGAGCGAAAGCGUGGGGAGCAAACAGG
rnacentral:rRNA from 1 species